UACAGAGGUCUCAAGCGUUGUUCGGAUUCAUUGGGCGUAAAGGGUGUGUAGGUGGCGCCGUAAGUCGGGUGUGAAAUUUCGGAGCUUAACUCCGAAACUGCAUUCGAUACUGCGGUGCUUGAGGACUGGAGAGGAGACUGGAAUUUACGGUGUAGCAGUGAAAUGCGUAGAUAUCGUAAGGAAGACCAGUGGCGAAGGCGGGUCUCUGGACAGUUCCUGGACAC
rnacentral:rRNA from 1 species